ensembl:lncRNA
UUUUUUUUUUUUUUUUUUGGUCUUUUUUGGCCGCCCCUGGCCUUUGGAGAUCCCAGGCCAGGAAUCUUAUUUGAGCUGCACUUGUGACCUAUAUCACUGCUGCAAUGUGGAUCCUUUAACCCACUGCACUGAGCUGGGGAUCAGACCUGCUUCCUGGCACUGGAGAGAUGCUGCCGAUCCUGUUGUGUCCCAGUGGGACAUUCCAGUCUCUGAUUUUUAAUCCUCAUAUUUACCUUUGUAUAGCUAGUUGCCUUCUGAAAUGUUGGAAAUAAAUCAGGUGUGUCUCCAUUUACUCUGUUUCUAAUGCAUGGAUCUCCUUCAAUGUCACUGUUGAUUUUCUGUCUGUCUGUCUUAUUUUGAUAAUUUUACAUGUCUAGUACUCUUAAAACCCUGUUGGAUGGGAUGUAUUUCUGUCUGAGUAAUCAGAAACACUUAGACUUUUUAUUUUAAAGGCCUCAUUGGUUAAACUAUAUGAAAUUGCCUAUAUUGACCAUUGGCAGACUAAAAGGAGGUAAUUUCAUAUAAUUUUCCUAAUAUUUUCAAUAUUUAAUAUUUUACCCAAUAUGUUUUACUCAUGCUAUACUCUCUACUUUUGAAAUUACCUUCUUACCUGCUUUUAGGGCUAGGGGAAGAUUUUACUUUCCUAAGACACCCUAUAUGAUUAUGUUAUCAGUGAUAUCACUAAAUGUACAUUCUCUCUUGUGCUUAUGACCAGGUUACCAUAUGACCAGUAUAGUCAUGUUAGUUAGACUGGUCUCACAGAAUAAACCCACCUGCUCUUCAUGUGUUUUGUUCCAUACUGACCCUCAGGUAUCAAUGAUUUCUCUGAUUUCUGCCCUUUUCAUCAUCAUUACAUCUUUACUAUUAUUAUCAUGUGGCAGAAAUUUACAUAGCGCUUAAUGUGUGUCAGUGCUAUUUUCAGCUGACAUUUACAUAUAUCAACUCAUUUAAACAAAGGAAGGCAUCUAUUAUCUCAGUUAGAUAGAGGGAUGGGUGAAAGAGUUGAACUUAUUUAAACUGUCAUACAACAGAGGAUACAGGUUGAGCAGGCACCAAUUAGUCAUGUGAAAAAAGAUUCCUUAGUAAAUAAAUAUAUUCACACCUAGACACAUAAACAUCAAAAGAAAUAACAAACAUAAACAUCAAAAGAAAAUUUCAAAAGCAACCAGAUCCAAAAUAUACUGCCUAUAAAGGACCAGGAAUUGCAUUAGCAGCAGACUUCUCAAACACAAUAAAUAAAAACAUAGGAAAUAGACAAAUAUAAUCAAAAUGUUGAAGGAAAAUAAUGGUCAACCUAGAAUUCCAUAACUAACUGAAGCAUCACUGAGAUGUGAAAAUACAUUUUCAAACAAAGAUUGAGAGCGUAGGAGAAAAUUAGAAAUAUGGAAUUCUAACAUUGUCAAGCUUUUCAGAAGAUGGAGAAUUUUUUUACUGAUUAUACUAUAUACUUGUAGUUACUGACAGAUUAGAGAAUGAAUGCAUAACUUCCAAAGCAGCUGAGAAGAAAAAGUAAAAUAUAUCAAAAUUGAUAGCUUAAUUGAAAGUAGAAAAGGACAAAUAGAUCAAUUAAAUGGAAUUAAGAAUAAAAUGAAAAGGAAAAAGAAAAUUAAAGAAAUAAAUUGAAGUACAAACAAUUAUGCUAAUGGAUUAAACUGUUAUAGCAAAAGACUAAAAAUAACAGAAAAAUAAAUAUAAUUAUGUAAUGAAAAGAGAAAGUUUGAGAGAAAGGAAUGGGAAAAGAUAUACGAUAUGAAUACUAACUAAAGAAAGUUGUCUAAAAGCAUUAUUAGGGAAAGUUUAUCAUAAAAGGACCAUUUCACCAUGUAGAUUUUACAGUCCUGAAUUUAUGCAAGCUCAUUAACAAAGACUUAAAAUACAUCAAGUAGGAUUUCCCGCUGUGGCACAAUGGAUUAAAGAUCAGACUAUGGCGGCUUGGCUCUCUGCAGAGAUACAGGUUUGAUCCCCAGCCUGGAGCACUGGUUUAAAAGGUCUGGUGUUGCUUCACUGCAGUGUAGGUUGCAGCUCUGUCUCAGAUUCAAUCCCUGGGUAUGGAACUUCCAUAUGCUGUGGAUGUGGCCAUAAAAAAUACAUUAAAGAAACAUAAAAAAUAAAAGAAAAUGUUAUUUUUAAAAAAUAUUUCAUCAUUCAUGUGGAUAUGGUAUAUCUUUCUCAAAACUGAUAAAAUUUAAUAUUUAAAUUGAGAUAAAUUAAUAGUCAUAUAGAUUUGAACUUUAAAAGCCAUUUAUAUACCUUAAAAUGAGCAAAUUCUUUUCAGGCACACAUGGAAGAUUCACAGACUGACUAUAAACUAAAACUCAAAAGAUUAGGAUCAUUGGAAAGAUAUUUUUCUGACACAAUGCAAUAAAAUUUGAUAUCAGUAUAUGUAAGAAUAUUUUUAAAAUAAAUUUUUGAAAUGCUAGCAAUUGUAAAAAGGAAUUAUAAAACAUCCAUUAUAAAAGGAAAAGUAUAAAUAUUUAUGAAUGAAUGAUGACUCUCACUUUUAUAGCUCCAACCUGGUCUUCACUUCUGAACUUGACACUGGUACAUCCAAUGGCCUACUCAGCAUCUCAACCAGAGAGACUAAUAGGCAUCUUAAAUGUAACCUGCCCAAAGUAAUUUCUGAUCUUUCUUCCCAGACUCACUCUAUCUACAGUUUUCUCCAUCUCACUUAUGACAAUCCAAUCUUUUCAAUUCAGUGAAAGUGUCUGAAGUAGAUUGAAUUAUGGCCACUGAUUAUUGACUCCUCUAUAACAGAAUAAUUCACUGUUAAUAAUGUGGCAGCUUCAAUGGGGCUAGAGUGUACUCCUCAACCUGGUAGUUUGGGCUUGACUAUGUGACUGUAAUUCUUUUGACUUUGGUGUUGUUAGCGGACGCGGUGUAACCAGAGAUAUUGAAAGGAAUCUCUGCCAUGAGUGCUCUCUUGCACCUCUUGCCAUGAGAAGAACAUGUCACAUGUAGCCUCUGGCCCAGGAAAGAUGACAGGUUUGUGGAGCCAGCCUAGAUGAAGCAAACCACAGGUUAGAGCCAAGCCCAACCAAGCCCAAAACUCAACAGACACACAGAUGAGAAAGAAAUUCUUAGUGUUAAAUGACAGUGAGUUUUGUGGUCAUUUUUACAGUGCUAAUAAGACAAUAGCUGUUAUGAACAGCCCAAGAUGAAAGCAAAGUUAUGUAACUAAACGUGUUUGUGUCUGUUUUAUGUGAAUGUUGUAUUAUUGUGAGUCUCCCAAUGGUUUAUACUGCAUCAUUCUUGCUCUCAUAGCCAACAUCAGCCACUAUACAGAUACUUCAUCCUUUGUUUAAUUGAAUGAACAUUCAUCUGGCAUUUUCUAGUUCCAAGAAUCAUGCUAAUUUCUGGGGUACAAAGAUGAAUGCAGCAUCAUCAUUGACCUCAGGAAGCUUACAUGUAAUUGAAAGAGAUAGACCUGUAACAUAAUAAUGAAAAAUCAUGUUAUAAACCAUUAUACAAAAAAACCCUCUACGAAGAUAACAAUCUCCUUUCAUUUACAAUAAACCAGCCCUAAGAGGAUACACUGUGACAAUGGAUGUAAACUUUGGCCCACAUGGAAUCCAGCCGACAAGUAUGAGAACUAAAACCUUGCUUUCCAUCUCUCAUCAGCACUUACACUUCCUGGAAACAGUUCAUGCAACUCAGCCCUCUGACAGCUUCGCUUAUUCAGAACACAGCUGACAGACCAAGAAGAAAUUUUUGAAAAAACUUCUGAACUAAUAAGACAGAUAUCACAUGUUUCAUGCACUGAAGUUCAUGUAUUUUACACAUAACCUUUACCGUAAGACCCUCCAAUCAGAAAGUACUCAUUUUCACAGGUGCAAAUCUCAUCGCCUAUCUUAGAGUACUUGGAUAGCAUGUGCGUAGUCGGAAGGGUGAUUAUGGGCACAGCCUAUAUGUGAAACUUGGAAUCUAAAAAUGAUAAGGGCCAUUCUACGGACCAUGAAUUUUGUGUGAUUUAAGGGGGAGAAAUAGUGACCUCUCUCAGGAGACAAAUUGAGGUCGGAACCAAAAGAGAAACAGCAGGUAUGACUGUGGAGUGUGGCUUUGGUGGGUGGGGGAUCCAGCGCAUAUAAUGGUGCUAUGCGUUGAUGAUAUUCUUCAGAGGACUUGGAGUCUGACCACUGAUACUUCACUUGCUUCCUUUGUUGUAUUUCCACCAAUCUUUUUUCAUCACUGUCUUGCCAACAUUGUGUUAAGUAAACAUGGUUCUAAGAGACACUUCCCUCUCUCAUCUCCCCCUGCCCCACUAUACUUCUUCCUUUGAGGAUCAGCUGUGCCACAUUCUUGAUUUUCCUUUUUGGGGAGCCACAUGUUUUAUCUCCCAGAUGUCUUCAUGUGUGGGAUGAAAAUAAUAAUCUUUCCUUGCAGAGUGAUGCUGAGGAUGAGAGAUCAUGCCUGUAUAACACCCAUCAUGGUAUCUAGCACACAGAGUGAGUAGAUGAAAAAAACUUCAUUUGAGUAGUAAAGUUUCUAAGCAUGAACUAUCGUCUAAUGGAAGAUGGGAAACACACACAGAAAACUUGCCAAAUAUUAAAUUAUUUCACCAUAAAAAUAGUUGGAAUAUAUACUGUUACAUAUUUAAUUUAUAUGUUGAAGUUAUGGAAGAUUUCAAAUAAAGGAAUCCAUCAUGGUCUCUUCAAUUAAUUUAAUAGGCAAUCUUCCAAGAAAUUGCAAAAAAAGGCAAUAUCUUGGCUUUACCACCACCUUCGAAUCUAAAUUGGAAUAUUUUCUAGAGUAACAUAUUUUUUUUCCUAUGCCCAAUUUGAGGCAAAAGAAGAUUAGCAUUUGUUGUAGCAUUUCUAACUUUAACAGCAGGAUAUUUGGCCUGAUUUGUUUCAUUAUCUCAAAGCUAUUGACUGCUAUGCAUAUCAAAGGCUUUAAUUACCGAGAGGAAAGGCAUGAUUCACAGAUGAUAAGAAAGAAAGCCAUUAGUUUCACAAGCAACCUGCUUCCCUGAGCAAUGAUAUGGUCUGAUUGAGGCACAUUGCCCUGUAAUUAUGGUUUUCCUUUUAGGCAUGAUUGUAACUGUAAAAGAUUUGUCCUCUGACCACAAUCUGCAUUUUGUUCACGAGAUAAAUUGUCUCUUGUUCAAUGACUGACGUAUCUUUGUGCUUUGUCUUGAUCUGCCAGAGGAUCAAGAACUCCGCAAAGUUUGCAGUUCUAUUUCACUUACGCAAAUAUUGAGAAGGAGUGAACAUUUCUUUGAGUUAUUUUGGAAAUUCUUCCCACUGAAAAGCUUUAAGGACUGUUAACUGCCAUUCACAUGGCACAAAGGAUCAAGCUUUCACUCUGAAAUGGAAUAGAUUUUAGGUUGGGGACCCAUUAAAAAAUAGUAGGAAUGGCAAGUUAGAAUCAAAUGAUUAGUUUUCUAUUUCAGGGUUAUUCUCAUUUGAAUAUUAAGAUUGACAGCCAAUCACUUGUUAACACAAUUUAUAAAAUUUAGACAGAAAUUCUGAAAUGAAGAAUGUCUGUUAUAAUAAACUUCCCAACUAAUCUGCCCACAUUUUUUCCCUUAAUGAUAAAAUGGGACUAUAAAUUCAUACCUUCCGAGUUCUUUAGGGAGUGGCUUACGAAAGUAUUGACAUCGGUAGGUGUUCUAUGUUCUCACAAAAAUAUUCCUCCAAAAUUUCCACUUAAUUUCAUCAUGUAGAGUAAUUAAAAUUGCAGGCCAUCUCUCCUGAUCUUGCACAGCUCAUUUAUAUAAAAUGCAUUCUGAGUACAGUCAGCCACAAAUUAUAAGGCAAUGAUCCCACUACAGAAAUUAUUUCACCACAAAAGAAUUUGAGACUUGGAAUAAUCACCACGUUGUGUGGUUUGACCACAGCUUCCCCACCACCAUGGGAGACACACACACACACACACACACACACACACACACACACACACACACACACACACACACACACACACAUGCUCAGACCCAUCUCUGAAUCUGCGGCACCUCAGAGGGUGAAGGGAUGUUGACGUCUCUUCUAUUUAGGUCAGUUCUUCUCACCGUGGUAAUUAGCUUUCAGCAUCCUGGCAGACUCAGGUAUAUUUUAGGAUUUCAAGUCUGUGUAACCAGCUGGGUUAUAUAUAGAUUUUUUCCCCUACAAAUUUCUACUUUCUCUUCCUCAUUACCAAUUUAAAUAUCCCUCAUUUAUAAAAUUUUAAAAAACAAAAUAUUCCUCCUUUUGUAAUAAAAUGCUGUUUAUUAAAUAUCAGUAAAAGAGUUGAUAUUUAAACUCUUGUUUAAAAUAUUUUCCAAGAUGAUUACAGAAAAAAAAGAUUUAUUUUUUUCAAGUAUGAGGGAAUUAAUAUUUUAUUUUAUUUGUAUUAGUUUCAGAUGUGCAACAUAAUGGUUUGAUGUUCGUAUACAUUGCAAAGUGAUCUCCACCAGAAGGCUAGCAAAUAGUGUUGCCACCUGGGAAGUGGAAUUUUAAUUAUUACCCAGCAUCUGAAAGUCAAUAUUUUUAUAUUAAAAUUCAAAAAGUUAGACCUUAACAUAUGUAACUGUAUUUGUUUGAACAAUAAGUUAGAAAUGGAUAUUUUUUAAACAGCUAAAUAGCAACAUCUAUGUACAUUUCUUUUUAAGUGAACAAAUCUGUAUUUUAUUGAAUUUCUUUGUUCUUAGCUAAUAUGAGAGCAUUUUCAUUUUUAACAAGAAAGUUUCAUUUACGUUUAUCAUGAUAAAUUUUUUGCACAUUUUUUUCUUUCUUCCAAUUUUUAACUAUACCUACUAGCAUUGUUUGAGCAUUUUCUUUUCUUUUUUUUUUUUUUUCCCUUCCUGCAGUGUAUGGAAAUUCCAGAGCUAGAAGUCAAAUUGGAUCUGUAGCUGCUGGCC